AAAAAAACCCACGACCUCCCCUCCCCUCACUAGCCCUACCUCGUCUCCCGUCUCCAGUCGCAGCCGCCGACACACCUGCCGAUCCCUGCGCAGCGCACCCAUCCCCGCCGCCCAUACCUGCCGUCCCCUGCGCCACCCAUCCCCACCUCGCUCCGCCCGCCGCCUCCCCUUCACGCCGGCGCCCACUCGCCUCGCCUGCACCGGUCGCCACGCGCUCGCCCCGCAAGGCAAGGAGCUCCCUUCCCCAGCCCGAUCUGAUGGAAAGAGGUCCAAGCCUUAACGGUCCGGUGUUCGUUGUGGCCAUAUCCGGCUGUGGGAGCCACCGUAGAGCCUCCAUGUCGGUGGAGCAGAGCAGCCCGACAGAGGUGGGUGCCUGAUCUCGUCCCGCAGAUCACCUCCACUAGGUGCCCCGGCGGUUCGGACCCCCACCUGGCCCCUCCCUCGAACCCAGCGAGCCUCCGUCCCGGCCUACUUCCCGCGCGAGGUCGCCUCCGCCUCCUCCUGGCGCACCGCCGCCCCCACCAUCUGGAUCGAUGUCCCACUUGAGUUAGCCGUGAACGAUAUGUUGAAGAGCAAGGGGGCACAGGCUAUUUCAGACCCUGAUUCGUUUUCUUAGGUUCUUUUCCCUUCUGCAAAUUCCACCCUCCUCAUGAUUUUGUUAUUUUUGUUUUCUUGAGACGGGGUGACUUAGAUAGCCUUGUACUGUUUACACUUGAAUAACUGCGAUUCAGAUUCAGCAGACAUACUAAAAGGGCUGGUUCUCUUUUGGCUCUGCAUUGCUUCUUAAACAUCAGUCUAAUUUAAUCCAUCCGUGUAAAAACUGGAUCCAAAUUUGGUCUGUAAUGCAACAAGUGUAAACUCAGAGUGUGGACUUUGCGGGUCUAGCUUCAGUGUGUGCUGUGUUCAUCAUGGUUAUGUCCAUGCUGCAUAUGAAUGGAGCAUCCUUGUGCUCAUGUGAUCUUGCUUGUAUACACCCUUCACAUAAGAUGGAUACAGAGCCUAUGAUACCUUGCAUUUGCAUUAAAAUGGACAAUCUUUUUUCGUUCUGACAUGUGCAUCUUGAGCUUACGAUCUAUUGAAUCACAGUGGAGAUAUUAUGCCUGGAGGCAAUGGCAAAGCUCCGUCAGUGUUAUGAUGAUCUGAAAGAGCGGUAUGUAGUUUCUGAUGUUACUGUUUCAGUACAGAGUAAGCCGACAACAUCCAAAAUCCUUUAUUCACUUUGAACAUAGUUGAUGUGUUUUCUGUGGUUGGGGGAAACCCUAUUGACGUUCUCUUGAACUGAACACCUUCCAGACGUGGCUUCUCAGCUAGGCUACAGAAGCAUCGACUCUUUGAGCCUGGAGGACAUGGUCAUUGAGGUAUGCAAUAUAAGCUGCCCGCAACCCGAUGCCCUCCACGGACACCACCACCAUGAUGGCGGAAGGAAGAGCAAGAGGGUUCGUCGAGGCUGGGUGCCGCCGUGAGGAUGCUGGUGCCCGUGCACGGUGAUGGCAUUGUGGCAGAAGGUCUUCUUCCGGGGGAGCCGCGCCUAGCCUCCGUCUCCACCCGCAGCCACGCUAACAAGAUAGGUUCAGGUUCGAUAUGUCAGGGCUAAACUAAGCUCGUCAGUUAAAGAAAGACCUCGAGAGACUCUGUAGGUACGGUGCUAUUGUUAGUGUGUUGUUGUCAGUACUACUCCAAUACUUUGGUGUGUGGUUGCAUAGUACUCCAAUACUUUGGGGUAGUAAAAAAUGUAUACGUGGUGGGAAAGCAUCAGUCGUUCGUAUUUGCAGAAUAGGGAAAUCAAUAAAUAAUACCAUUAAGAAAGCAUGCAUGGUAUAGUGAAUACUUAGUAUACCAGUCAUAUUUUCGCGGCAACAUGCACCUAUUUGGAGGCUUAUCCGAUAUUAUUGCAAUCUGGUAGAACUGACAUAUACUCCCUCCGUCCGGAAAUACUUGUCAUCAAAAUGAAUAAAAGGAGAUGUAUCUAGAUGUAUUUUAGUUCUAGAUACGUCCCUUUUAGUCCAUUUUGAUGACAAGUAUUUUCAGACGGAGGGAGUACUUUACUGGAGCUAGCACCUCAUGCAUAGUUAUUGUAUCAACCAGAAAGAAACUUCCGAUCUACCAUUUUACAAAACCAAAUUGUAUAGUGAGUAAUUGAAGUGAAGUUGUUUUGGGCACCCAAAGAUAAUUCUGUUUGUAUAUUCCUGCCACUUGUAUGGUUACAAGAAGCUAAAUGUUGUUUUUCUUUUUUAUGUUCUCGGUAGAAACCCUGUCAUCCUUUUCUAUCCACAUGAUGCUUAGGGGCCGUUUGGAUUACCACCAACGCCGACCCUAUCAGUUUUUUGGCAUGCCCUUGCGAUUUGGACCCUGUUUGGACCAUCGCUAAAAUAUUGGCUCGCCCCAAAGGCUCAGUGUUACUUCUGCCAACUCGUGGGCGCAUCGAGGGCGCCGAAAUUGGUCGCCAAAAAAUUGGCGAGCACAUUCCUCGCCGGCUGAUACGAGGAUCUCGUGUUAGUGUUUUUUAAUCUCGUAUAGUUCAAACAAUCGGUGCAGCGGAUUAAUUGGCUGAGUAUUUCUUUGGGUCGUUGUGAUCACUUAGAUCGCGCAACUAAUUCUGUUUAUCACAGUCCAAUAGCCGGAGAAGAAAUUGUACUACCAAAUUACGGUUGUUUGUCUCUUUUUCCUUUUUUGCGAAUGAAAUUGUCUCUGUUUUCGUAAAGGCAGCUGCAAGUUUCGUUGAGCACAAAAGUUGUAUCUUUUCAUUGUUUUUGUGAAUGACCCAUUUCAUUUCUUUCUGCAUGCUACAGUUAAUUAAGUGUCCAUAUUACAAAAAUAAAAUUUUGAGUUUAUUUGUUAUUGGCUCAACAUUAUAACUAAAAACACAAAUCAAUUCAAGUUGUCAAACCAAAUGUAAUAUCUGCCAACAUUUUGGAAGGUUCAGUGGCUAUAAACCAAACAAUAACAACUUGCCAAUUUUUUGGUCAUGCCCUCACUUUGGUCAUGCCAAAAAUUUGAUAGGGCAAAUUGGGGCACAAACCCAACACACCCUUACUAUUUUUUGUACUUGUUCGUCACCAAUCAAUAAAACAUUGUGUAUUCAUUACAUAUGGUGAAUGGCCUUCUAGAUUUGUGAGUUCAUAGGUAGUUAUACAACAGCAGAGCCAUGUUCUAAAAACAGAUUCGAGCCUUUCCUUGGUUUGGAGUUGGGUCCCGAAGAAACGUUCGAGCGCAUGAAAUCAGUUCUUUUCAAGAAUGCAAUUGCUUUUUUUCUCUCAUAGAUUCCACUCGUAACAUAUCACAAGUAUCUUCAGUCUAAGAAAAUAGGAAAAGUGAACUUACAUGAUUUAUUUAAAUUACUAAAUAACUUACUAGAUAAUGUAUAUUUCCGUUUGAGCAUUCCGAAAACUGAAUGCCACUCCAUUAAGUUGUAGGAUGCAUAAGGUAAGGAAAAUAUAGGAAGCCCAGACAUCUGUAGUAAUACCAGAAGUGGAAGAACAAGGGCAAGAAAAUAUGUAAAAGGGCCAAUGAUAGGCGAAAAAAGAUUCACGUGGUUAAUAUAGUUCAUGUUUUGCACCAAGGAAGAACAGAGGAAUGGAAGCAAAGAGAAAUGAGUGAGCAUACACCUUUGCUACUACCUCUCUCUCAGUUUACAGGGCGUGCGCGUAUCCCUAAGUCGUCAAUUUGACCAACCUAAUACAAGUCAUAUAUUACAAAAAGUAUACCAAUAUAAACUUUAGAUGUUCUAUUUUCAAAAGAUAUAAUUUUUGUGUUAUACAGUUUAUAUUAAGGUGAUCAAAUUGGCAACCUAGGUAUACGCGUAGGACUUGUAAACUGAAACGGAGGUAGUAGAUUUUAUGAACUGAACUAAUGUACAAAAACACAUAUUGUUAUCUUGGUGCAUAUAGUUAUUUAAUUUAACAACUUGAAUUCCACAUGAAGCGUACUGUAUUGGACUUCUCUGGGCUUUACAUGUGCUCAUAUUCCAUAAUUUGGAUCAGAAAUGAAGCCUAUGCGUAUGUAUAAAGCAUUUGCAUUAUACUAAUAUUGUGUGUGUUGUUCUCAUGAACUCCAUAGCAGAUAUCCCGAUUCAAAGUAAUAUAGCCAGAGAUGUUAACAUUUGUUGUUGGAAACACAAGCACUAAUUUUUUUAUUGCAUUUGAACUAGAUAUGGUUGUAUCUUAGAGAUUGUUGCUUUGGACAGGAUUUACUAUAUUUUGCAGCAGGCUACAUGCUUCUCUGAAUGACCAUUUAAGGAGUGAACAUGAAUUGCUGAUGUAUAUGUUCCAUGCUCCAUGGGGAGGGAACAAGGAUUGAUUUUCGCCAGGAGUAGGGAGAGUAUGACUUGCGUAACAGAAGCACAAACACAAAUGGACACUCUGCAGUUGUAUCAGACACACCACCACAAGACAUGAUGUGUGCAUCAGAAUUCUUAGCAACAACUGUUACGACCGUGCAACGCCAAGAUUGCUAGCGACAAGGAUUUGAGGAGGACAAGACGGUAGCUAUCGACAAGGAUUCAAGAAGGACCAGAUGCCACGGUAGUGGUUGUAAUAUUAGUCGAGACGAAUCUGAAAAAAUUGAGUUGAGAUGUGGAGAUACGAUGGAUUUUGCAAAAAAAAAUGAGUAAAUUUUUGCUACAAAGAACAUAUUGGUGUGCA